rnacentral:rRNA from 1 species
GACGAACGCUGGCGGCGUGCUUAACACAUGCAAGUCGAACGGAAAGGCCCUGCUUGCCGGGUACUCGAGUGGCGAACGGGUGAGUAACACGUGGGUGAUCUGCCCUGCACUUCGGGAUAAGCCUGGGAAACUGGGUCUAAUACCGGCUAGGAGCCAUUUUUAGUGUGAUGGUUGGAAAGUUUUUUCGGUGUAGGAUGAGCUCGCGGGCUAUCGGCUUGUUGGUGGGGUAAUGGCCUACCAAGGCGGCGACGGGUAGCCGGCCUGAGGGGGUGGACGGCCACAUUGGGACUGAGGUACGGCCCAGACUCCGACUGGAGGCAGCAGUGGGGAAUAUUGCACAAUGGGCGCAAGCCUGAUGCAGCGACGCCGCGUGGGGGAUGACGGCCUUCGGGUUGUAAACUCCUUUCACUAGGGACGAAGCUUUUUGUGACGGUACCUAGAUAAGAAGCACCGGCUAACUACGUG